rnacentral:rRNA from 1 species
UACGGAGGAUGCAAGCGUUAUCCGGAAUGAUUGGGCGUAAAGCGUCCGCAGGUGGCUGUGUAAGUCUGCUGUUAAAGAGUCUAGCUCAACUAGAUAAAAGCAGUGGAAACUACACGGCUAGAGUACGUUCGGGGCAGAGGGAAUUCCUGGUGUAGCGGUGAAAUGCGUAGAUAUCAGGAAGAACACCGGUGGCGAAAGCGCUCUGCUAGGCCGCAACUGACACUGAGGGACGAAAGCUAGGGGAGCGAAUGGG